rnacentral:rRNA from 1 species
GCAGUAGGGAAUCUUCCGCAAUGGACGAAAGUCUGACGGAGCAACGCCGCGUGAGUGAUGAAGGUUUUCGGAUCGUAAAGCUCUGUUGUUAGGGAAGAACAAGUACCGUUCGAAUAGGGCGGUACCUUGACGGUACCUAACCAGAAAGCCACGGCUAACUACGUGCCAGCAGCCGCGGUAAUACGUAGGUGGCAAGCGUUGUCCGGAAUUAUUGGGCGUAAAGGGCUCGCAGGCGGUUUCUUAAGUCUGAUGUGAAAGCCCCCGGCUCAACCGGGGAGGGUCAUUGGAAACUGGGGAACUUGAGUGCAGAAGAGGAGAGUGGAAUUCCACGUGUAGCGGUGAAAUGCGUAGAGAUGUGGAGGAACACCAGUGGCGAAGGCGACUCUCUGGUCUGUAACUGACGCUGAGGAGCGAAAGCGUGGGGAGCGAACAGGAUUAGAUACCCUGGUAGUCCACGCCGUAAACGAUGAGUGCUAAGUGUUAGGGGGUUUCCGCCCCUUAGUGCUGCAGCUAACGCAUUAAGCACUCCGCCUGGGGAGUACGGUCGCAAGACUGAAACUCA